GACAAUUCUGUCUCCUUUAGAGACGGAUUUAUUAUGUUUUGAAUUCAAUAUUUAGAGACGGAUGUUUAUUUGAUAGUGACAGAUAAAUUCUGUCUCCAAUCAGAGACAAAAUAUAAAAUCUGUCUCUGAUAGUUUAGAGACGAGGAAAUUAAAGACAGAAUCAAAUCGGUCUCUAAUUCUGUCUCUAACAUGUUUAGUGACGGAAUAUUGGCAUUUUAG
rnacentral:lncRNA from 1 species